rnacentral:rRNA from 1 species
CAGUAGCCACGGUAAUACGUAGGGUGCAAGCGUUAAUCGGAAUUACUGGGCGUAAAGCGUGCGCAGGCGGUUUUGUAAGACAGAGGUGAAAUCCCCGGGCUCAACCUGGGAACUGCCUUUGUGACUGCAAGGCUAGAGUACGGCAGAGGGGGAUGGAAUUCCGCGUGUAGCAGUGAAAUGCGUAGAUAUGCGGAGGAACACCGAUGGCGAAGGCAAUCCCCUGGGCCUGUACUGACGCUCAUGCACGAAAGCGUGGGGAGCAAACAGGAUUAGAUACCCCCGUAGUCCCUGUCUCUUAUAU